UCUCAUGGGAGGGGGCUCAGAAGGACAAUACAGUGAGUCACGAACCCUCUUUGGGUCUUCUUCUUCUUCAAGGACAAUCUCAACCAUUCUCUUAUCCCUGCUCCUUCCUCCUCCUUUGCAGCAAAUAGCCACCUUCUACCACACACAUCCACUACUGACCACUGCUCCGACCACCCGUACCAAACAAUACAAUCAUUGUAAUAAGGUGACCAGAGGGAGAAGGAAGGAAGGAAAGAGGCAAACCAGAGGCAACAGAUCUGUGAUAAUAAGGUGUUCGAAGAUUCAACUUUCGAAAAAUAGAAUUUUUGAGGAGGAUACUUCGUCGUAGAAGUCCGAUGAAGAAAGGGUUCAUCAAAGUGUUUCUGAAAAUUUUCCCGAGAAAUCAGACAAUUUCAAAUUUUCCGGGAAAGGAAUGAAGUUCGGUGAUGGGUUUGAGAAUGAUGUUAAAUCUGGUAGCAGUUCUUCUAGAAGAGCUGAUAAUAGGGAAGUUUUGAGCAAUAUAGCUGACAACCAAAGUAAUGGUUCAUACAUCAAUCCUGAUAAUUGGGUUAUUAUUGAUAAUGAUCUUCAAAUAAA